UACAGAGGUCUCAAGCGUUUGUUCGGAUUCAUUGGGCGUAAAGGGCGCGUAGGCGGCGGGGUAAGUCGGGUGUGAAAUCUCAGAGCUCAACUCUGAAACUGCACUCGAUACUGCUCUGCUUGAGGACUGGAGAGGAGACUGGAAUUCACGGUGUAGCAGUGAAAUGCGUAGAUAUCGUGAGGAAGACCAGUGGCGAAGGCGGGUCUCUGGACAGUUCCUGACGCUGAGGGCGCGAAG
rnacentral:rRNA from 1 species